rnacentral:rRNA from 1 species
UGGGCAACCUGCCCUCAGCUCUGGGAUAACUCCGGGAAACCGGAGCUAAUACCGGAUACGACCUCUGCCGGCAUCGGUGGUGGUGGAAAGUUCUUCGGCUGAGGAUGGGCCCGCGGCCUAUCAGCUUGUUGGUGGGGUGAAGGCCUACCAAGGCGACGACGGGUAGCCGGCCUGAGAGGGCGACCGGCCACACUGGGACUGAGACACGGCCUAGACUCCUACGGGAGGCA